AGGUUACAGACGUACAAAGUCAGCCGCAAAAUUGAUUUUUGGCCGACCAAACGAUAUUCUAUCGGUUAAAUCUAUCACGUGCAACCAACCUUCUGUCAAACUGACUUGUGUUAAUGAAGGAUACUAAAGAAUUUCAUAGGACUUCAGAAAUUUCAAGGGAUGUCUGAUAUUUAAAAAUAUUUCAAGGAAUAUAAAUAGAUUUCAACAGAUUUGAGAGAUUUUAGGGUAUUUUUUAGAAUCCCAAGAAAUUUUCAAGAGCUUAAAAAAAUUUCAAGAGACUUUCACGCGGUUUUCAAGAAUUUUGGACGAUUUAGACGAAUUUUGUAGGACAUAGAAGGAUCCCAAAGGAUUGCAUAGGACUUCAAAUAUUGCAAGGGAUUUCAAGGAAUUUUAAGAAAUAUCAUUAGAUUCACAUUUUUAAGAGCUUUAAAAAGUUUGAAGAAAUUUCUAAACAUUGCAAAAGAAUCGAAAUCUUUCAGGGUAUCUUAACCCGUUAAGUGUAGGGCUUUUUUUGCACCACUUAAGUGUAGCGGGGGGUCGAUUCGACCUCACGCUUAAAAAAAUCGAAAUCGUGUUGUUAAAAAUCUAAAAAAAUGCAUGUUUCAUGUUUAAGCCUUGUACUUUACUGUAGAAUUUCUCAAUCUAGGUUUUUAAAUUUAUUAAUUAUAUAAUUAA